CCUACGGGUGGCAGCAGUGGGGGAUAUUGCACAAUGGGGGGAACCCUGAUGCAGCGACGCCGCGUGGGUGAAGAAGCGCCUCGGCGCGUAAAGCCCUGUCAGCAGGGAAGCAAAUGACGGUAACAGAAGAAGAAGCCCCGGCUAACUACGGGCCAGCAGCCGCGGUAAUACGUAGGGGGCAAGCGUUAUCCGGAUUUACUGGGAGUAAAGGGGGCGCAGACGGCGAUGCAAGCCGUGAGUGAAAGCCCGGGGCCCAACCCCGGGCCUGCUCUUGAUACUGCGUGACUGGAGUGCAGGAGGGGCAGGCGGAAUUCCUGGUGUAGCAGUGAAAUGCGUAGAUAUCGGGAGGAACACCGGUGGCGAAGGCGGCCUGCUGGACUGCAACUGACGUUGAGGCACGAAGGCGAGGGGAGCAAACGGGAUUAGAUACCCCUGUAGUC
rnacentral:rRNA from 1 species